rnacentral:rRNA from 1 species
GGUAUUCCGGAGAGCAUGCCUGUUUGAGUGUCAU